rnacentral:rRNA from 1 species
AUUGGCCUAGGGGCGCCGCCGUGCGGCCUAUUGGUCACUGGGCGCGGGCCUGAACCAGCCAAGUCGCGUGAGGGAAGACGGUCCUAUGGAUUGUAAACCUCUUUUGUCGGGGAGCAAAAAGGCCUCGUGAGGCCACAAGUGAGAGUACCCGAAGAAAAAGCAUCGGCUAACUCCGUGCCAGCAGCCGCGGUAAUACGGAGGAUGCGAGCGUUAUUCGGAUUUAUUGGGUUUAAAGGGUGCGUAGGCGGACUGGAAAGUCAGCGGUAAAAUCGAGAGGCUCAACCUCUUUCCGCCGUUGAAACUGU